rnacentral:rRNA from 1 species
GGUAAUACCAGCUCUCCGAGUGGUGGGGACGAUUAUUGGGCUUAAAGCGUUCGUAGCCGGCUUAACAAGUCUUCCGUUAAAUCCAACGAUCUAAUCGUUGGGCUGCGGGAGAUACUGUUGGGCUAGGAGGCGGGAGAAGCCGACGGUAUUCUCGGGGUAGGGGUGAAAUCCUGUAAUCCCGGGAGGACCACCAGUGGCGAAGGCGGUCGGCUAGAACGCGCUCGACGGUGAGGGACGAAAGCUGGGGGAGCGAACCGGAUUAGAAACCCGGGUAGUCCCAGCUGUAAACGAUGCGGGCUAGGUGUUGGGGUGGCCACGAGCCACUUCAGUGCCGCAUGGAAGCAAUUAAGCCCGCCGCCUGGGGAGUACGGCCGCAAGGCUGAAACUUAAAGGAAUUGGCG